rnacentral:rRNA from 1 species
CCUACGGGAGGCAGCAGUGAGGAAUAUUGGUCAAUGGACGAGCGUCUGAACCACCCAAGUAGCUUGAAGGAUGACUGCCCUAUUGGUUGUAAACUUCUUUUAUAUGGGAAUAAAAUGUUCCACGUGUGGGAUUUUGUAUGUAACAUAUGAAUAAGGAUCGGCUAAAUCCGUGCCAGCGGCCGCGGUAAUAAGGAGGAUCCGAGCGUUAUCCGGCUUUAUUGGUUUUAAAGGGAGCGUAGGUGGAUUGUUAAGUCAGUUGUGAAAGUUUGCGGCUCAACCCUAAAAUUGCAGUUGAAACGGGCUGUCUUGAGUACAGGAGAGGUAGGCGGAAUUCGUGGUGUAGCGGUGAAAUGCUUAGAUAGUACGAAGAACUCCGAUUGCGAAGGCAGCUUACUGGACUGCAACUGACACUGAGGCUCGAAAGUGUGGGUAUCAAACAGGAUUAGAUACCCCUGUAGUC